rnacentral:rRNA from 1 species
CCUACGGGAGGCAGCAGUGGGGAAUUUUGGACAAUGGGCGCAAGCCUGAUCCAGCCAUUCCGCGUGAGUGAAGAAGGCCUUCGGGUUGUAAAGCUCUUUCGCAAGGGAAGAAAACUUACCAUCGAAUAAAUGGUGAGGCUGACGGUACCUUGAUAAGAAGCACCGGCUAACUACGUGCCAGCAGCCGCGGUAAUACGUAGGGUGCGAGCGUUAAUCGGAAUUACUGGGCGUAAAGCGUGCGCAGGCGGUUUUGUAAGUCAGAUGUGAAAUCCCCGAGCUCAACUUGGGAACUGCGUUUGAAACUACAAGACUAGAAUAUGUCAGAGGGGGGUAGAAUUCCACGUGUAGCAGUGAAAUGCGUAGAGAUGUGGAGGAAUACCAAUGGCGAAGGCAGCCCCCUGGGAUAAUAUUGACGCUCAUGCACGAAAGCGUGGGGAGCAAACAGGAUUAGAUACCCUGGUAGUCCACGCCCUAAACGAUGUCUACUAGUUGUUGGUGGAGUAAAAUCCAUGAGUAACGCAGCUAACGCGUGAAGUAGACCGCCUGGGGAGUACGGUCGCAAGAUUAAAACUUAAAUGAAUUGACGGCUGAGACGAGCGAGACGACGACGAGGGAGGAGG